rnacentral:lncRNA from 1 species
CAAUUUCCCAAAGACCCAAAUACACCCAACCUCACACACUCACAAAGGAAGAGAAAACAAUGAUACAAAGCAAAGAACAACUAGAGAGAAUUUGUUUCACUCUUUGGCAAAAUGCCUUUCUUGCUAUUUUUCUCUUCUACUCAACACUUGGUUGGAUGCUACAAAUGAAACCAUUUGCUUCCAAUUUAUAGCCAAAGGAAGUGGCUUCUCAAAGAAGCCAAAGGUUAGGCAAAGUCAACAAUAGCCUACCACCAUGCA